AUUGAACGCUGGCGGAAUGCUUUACACAUGCAAGUCGAACGGUAGAGGGUGCAACCCCUCGAGAGUGGCGAACGGGUGAGUAAUAUAUCGGAACGUGCCCAGUCGUGGGGGAUAACGUAGCGAAAGUUACGCUAAUACCGCAUACGAUCUAUGGAUGAAAGCGGGGGAUCGCAAGACCUCGCGCGAUUGGAGCGGCCGAUAUCAGCUUAGGUAGCUGGUAGGGUAAAGGCUCACUAAGCCAACGAUCUGUAGCUGGUCUGAGAGGACGACCAGCCACACUGGAACUGAGACACGGUCCAGACUCCUACGGGAGGCAGCAGUGGGGAAUUAUGGACAAUGGACGAAAGCCUGAUCCAGCCAUUCCGCAUGCAGGAUGAAGGCCCUCGGGUUGUACACUGCUUUUGUACAGAACGAAAAGGUUUCUACUAAAACUAGGAGGUCAUGACGGUACUGUAAGAAUAAGCACCGGCUAACUACGUGCCAGCCGCCGCCGUAA
rnacentral:rRNA from 1 species